rnacentral:rRNA from 1 species
UACGGAGGGUGCAAGCGUUGUCCGGAUUUAUUGGGUUUAAAGGGUGCGUAGGCGGCCCGUUAAGUCAGUGGUGAAAGCCUCCAGCUCAACUGGAGAACUGCCAUUGAUACUGGCGGGCUUGAGUACAGACGAGGUAGGCGGAAUUGAUUGUGUAGCGGUGAAAUGCAUAGAUACAAUCAAGAACACCGAUUGCGUAGGUAGCUUACUAGGCUGUAACUGACGCUGAGGCACGAAAGCGUGGGGAGCGAACAGG